rnacentral:rRNA from 1 species
GUAGUCUCGCACAGAUGCAUAUCAAUAAGCGGAGGAAAAGAAACUAACAAGGAUUCCCCUAGUAACGGCGAGUGAAGCGGGAAGAGCUCAAAUUUGAAAUCUUAAAGGGUUUCCCUUUACGAAUUGUAGUUUAAAGAAGUGUUUUCUGUUGAGGUUUUGGUAAAAGUUCUUUGGAAUAGGACAUCAUAGAGGGUGAGAAUCCCGUAUUUGACCCUUACUUUCAACUUUGUGAUACACUUUCAAAGAGUCGGAUUGUUUGGGAAUGCAGUCCAAAAUGGGUGGUAAAUUUCAUCUAAAGCUAAAUAUUGGCGAGAGACCGAUAGCGAACAAGUACCGUGAGGGAAAGAUGAAAAGAACUUUGAAAAGAGAGUUAAACAGUACGUGAAAUUGUCAAGAGGGAAGCGUUUGACACCAGUGUUGUUUUUCUGAAAAUCAAUUAAAGAACUGUUUAUGCUAAGCUGUUUAGACUUUAUCAGCUAACUGUUUAGUUUUGAGCUUUUCUUUAAUGCACUUUUCAGUUAACAAGUCAACAUCAAUUUCUUUUGCUGUAAAAAAGCUUGAGGAAGGUGGCUUGAGAUUCGUCUUAAGUGUUUAUAGCCUCUUGCCUAUGCAGUCGGAGAGAUUGAGGUCUGCAGCGUAGAUCCUUCGGGGCUAAAUGCAUUUGUGCUAAGUUAUAACAUUUCUAUAGACAACUUGUUGACUAUGAUUUGUCUUGUAGCUUACUCGCUUAUGUUAUUUUACCUACGCUUAGGAUGUUGAUCUGUAGUGCGUGCGC